rnacentral:rRNA from 1 species
AAGUUUUCGGAUGGAUCUGAUUUAACUUAGUGGCGGACGGGUGAGUAACGCGUGGGUAACCUGCCUUGAAGAGGGGGACAACAGUUGGAAACGACUGCUAAUACCGCAUAAUAUGUAGGAGUCGCAUGGCUCUUACAUCAAAGAUUUAUCGCUGAAAGAUGGCCUCGCGUCUGAUUAGCUAGUUGGUGAGGUAACGGCCCACCAAGGCGACGAUCAGUAGCCGGACUGAGAGGUUGAACGGCCACAUUGGGACUGAGAUACGGCCCAGACUCC